AUAAAAUAAUUAUGUUUUAAAAAAUUUAUUUUAAAUUUAUUUUACAUAUAAAUUUUAGUAUUAAAUUUUAAUUAUUUUAAUAAUAAUUAAUUAAUUAAUUUGUAGUAAUUAAAAUUAAAAAUUUAAGAAAUUAAGAUUUAGUAAUAUAUAAAUUAAUAACUAAUUUUGUGCCAGCAGUUGCGGUUAUACAAAAAUUAAAUUAAAUUAUUUCAGUAUAUAAUAAAUAAAAUUAAAUUAAUUUAAAUAUUAAAUUAUUAGGUGAAAUUUUAAUUUAAUUAAAUUUUAAAAAAUUUUAUAAUUUAAUAAAUUUAGUAAUAAACUAGGAUUAGAUACCCUAUUAUUAAAAAUUUAAUUAUAAAUACUAAAAUAGUAGAUAAAAAAUAUUGAAACUUAAAUAAUAUGGCGGUAUUUUAGUUCAUUUAGAGGAAUCUGUCUAAUAAUUGAUAAUCCACGAAUUAAUUUACUUAAUUUAAGAUUUUAUAUAUCGUUGUUAAAAAAAUAUUUUUUAGUAAAAAUAAUAUUUUAGAAUUAAAAUAAAAAAUUAACUCAGAUCAAGAUGUAGAAUAUAAUUAAGAAUAUGAUGGAUUACAAUAAAAUAAUUUAUAAUGGAUGAUUAAAUUUUAAUAUUAAUCUGAAGGUGGAUUUAAAUGUAAUUUUAAUUAGUUUAUUGAAAUGAUUAAAAAUUAAAAUAUGUACAUAUUGCCCGUCACUUUCAUUUAAAAAUUGGAAUAAGUCGUAACAAAGUAGAGGUACUGGAAAGUGUUUCUAGAAAGAA
rnacentral:ncRNA from 1 species